AGAGUUUGAUCAUGGCUCAGAUUGAACGCUGGCGGCAUGCUUUACACAUGCAAGUCGAACGGUAACAGGUCUUCGGAUGCUGACGAGUGGCGAACGGGUGAGUAAUACAUCGGAACGUGCCUAGUAGUGGGGGAUAACUACUCGAAAGAGUAGCUAAUACCGCAUGAGAUCUACGGAUGAAAGCAGGGGACCUUCGGGCCUUGUGCUACUAGAGCGGCUGAUGGCAGAUUAGGUAGUUGGUGGGGUAAAGGCUUACCAAGCCUGCGAUCUGUAGCUGGUCUGAGAGGACGACCAGCCACACUGGGACUGAGACACGGCCCAGACUCCUACGGGAGGCAGCAGUGGGGAAUUUUGGACAAUGGGCGAAAGCCUGAUCCAGCAAUGCCGCGUGCAGGAUGAAGGCCCUCGGGUUGUAAACUGCUUUUGUACGGAACGAAAAGCCUGGGGCUAAUAUCCCCGGGUCAUGACGGUACCGUAAGAAUAAGCACCGGCUAACUACGUGCCAGCAGCCGCGGUAAUACGUAGGGUGCAAGCGUUAAUCGGAAUUACUGGGCGUAAAGCGUGCGCAGGCGGUUUUGUAAGACAGUGGUGAAAUCCCCGGGCUCAACCUGGGAACUGCCAUUGUGACUGCAAGGCUAGAGUGCGGCAGAGGGGGAUGGAAUUCCGCGUGUAGCAGUGAAAUGCGUAGAUAUGCGGAGGAACACCGAUGGCGAAGGCAAUCCCCUGGGCCUGCACUGACGCUCAUGCACGAAAGCGUGGGGAGCAAACAGGAUUAGAUACCCUGGUAGUCCACGCCCUAAACGAUGUCAACUGGUUGUUGGGUCUUAACUGACUCAGUAACGAAGCUAACGCGUGAAGUUGACCGCCUGGGGAGUACGGCCGCAAGGUUGAA
rnacentral:rRNA from 1 species